UACGAAGGGGGGCUAGCGUUGCUCGGAUUUACUGGGCGUAAAGGGCGCGUAGGCGGACAGUUAAGUUGGGGGUGAAAGCCCGGGGCUCAACCUCGGAAUUGCCUUCAAUACUGGCUGUCUUGAGUGUGAGAGAGGUGUGUGGAACUCCGAGUGUAGAGGUGAAAUUCGUAGAUAUUCGGAAGAACACCAGUGGCGAAGGCGACACACUGGCUCACUACUGACGCUCAGGCGCGAAAGCGUGGGGAGCAAACAGG
rnacentral:rRNA from 1 species